AGAGACAGGACAUCCAUGCAGCAGCAGACAGCCUGGCAUCCGCCAGACGGCAGUCCCCAAGAAACCCCAGGCGGUCCUUAGCUCAGAGCCCAGGCUCAGGUUUGGGCAGGCUUGCCCCAAGGUGGCAAGGAGAUGGUGCCAAGUCACGUUGCUGCCAAGCACUGAGGCUGCUGAGAAUGCAGGAGCGCCGACCCCCAGGACCCAUCAUACCGAGUAGAUGAAUAUGUGAAGGGAC